rnacentral:rRNA from 1 species
UGGGGAAUAUUGGACAAUGGGGGGAACCCUGAUCCAGCCAUGCCGCGUGUGUGAAGAAGGCCUUAUGGUUGUAAAGCACUUUAAGCGAGGAGGAGGGUACUGGUAUUAAUACUACCAGCUACUGGACGUUACUCGCAGAAUAAGCACCGGCUAACUCUGUGCCAGCAGCCGCGGUAAUACAGAGGGUGCGAGCGUUAAUCGGAUUUACUGGGCGUAAAGCGUGCGUAGGCGGCUAAUUGAGUCGGAUGUGAAAUCCCCGAGCUUAACUUAGGAAUUGCAUUCGAUACUGGUCAGCUAGAGUAUGGGAGAGGAUGGUAGAAUUCCAGGUGUAGCGGUGAAAUGCGUAGAGAUCUGGAGGAAUACCGAUGGCGAAGGCAGCCAUCUGGCCUAACACUGACGCUGAGGUACGAAAGCAUGGGGAGCAAACAGG